AGGGAUUCGAUUUUUUUUAUAUAUUAUAAACAUGAAUUAUAGUAUAAUAGCCUUUCGGAAACCUAAGAAAGGCAAAGAAGUUGAAAAAGAAAAAGGAAGACAAAGGUUUGUAAUUUCAAGGUCAGCAUCCCAUGUGAUAUCUACUUUCCAAUACAUCUUUACACGCAAAAACUUAAUAUUUUUUGAUCCCACGUUUCAGCCAUCUCUACAUUUCUUUUAUAAUUUUUCUCCAAAAUUGGUAUAUGCUUCCUUCCUAAGCAUAACAUAACUAAUUGUUAACAUUUCAAUUUUACAGAUAAACCUAAUUUUGGAUAUGAUAGAAAAAAAUAUUAUUUAAAUUGUUAUACCCCUACUUCGAUAUGAACACGUGGCAUCACAAGAAGCAUUUUGGAAGCAUCUUCAGAUGGUCUUUUUUAACUUGCAUCCUCUGGCUACUAUGGACGACCUUUUGAGGCUCUGACUUAUACCACCCGACUGGUCACUACGUGAUUAGCCAUUAACCCGCUAAAUAACAGACCCUCAAUCCAGACACCCAAUUUUUAGUAGGUAUGCAUUUAUUCCCCAAGAGAGAACUACUAAGACUAGCAACUUUGUAUUAUCUAAAAAAAGAGAAUGUCAAAAUAAUACUAUACUUGAUGACAACUAAGGUAUAACAAUCUUAUCACUUGACUGAUCACACAUUCUCCAUAUCCUGAGUUUGUCAACGACAUGCCACUACCGAACAUGGGGUUCUUUUCCCCCUAUAUACACCCCAACACACAAUGACAAGAAACUCUUCUCUCCCUUUUUGGCAACUUUUAAGCAUUCAGCCCAGCACGUCCCGAAUACUUACCUUAAGCUUCUUUUUUCCUUUUUCUCUCACUCCAGCUCUUUGCCUAUCUAGAUGAACCGACUUUCUUGUUACCAUGAUCAUCUCCUCUCUUGUUAAGCACUUACAUCAAUAUAAAUAAUGAUGACACACAUUUAAUACAAGCAUGUUUAGUAAUAUAUGUUUUUUUUAUCUCUACAUAAAAGAAACAAAAUUGAUACAAGUAAAGAGAUUGCACAUUGAAAAAACAAUGUAACAUGAAGCUUAGGAAUUUAACGUAAAAAGAGACAAAUUCGAAGAAGUUCAAACAUAGAAAAUAAAGGUAAAAUGAGUGGACAUUGUGCUCCAUGUGUAUCCAACCGAAAGCUAGGCUAACAGUUAAGCAGCGCUUUCAUGUCCAGUAGGAUAUAUGGAUGAUGCAUCCGACAAAAACUAAUGCUGGCUCCUAACAUACCAAACACAUGUAGUUAUGGUUAAAGAUGUGACCAUUUUUCAUUGGUAGGCGGAAAACCAAAGAAAAAGAACCAACACCAAAUUUAACAACCACUUUCGAGGUGGGUCAUCGUGGAUACAUACGUGGCAAUAGAACCAAGGUUUUCAUAGCUGACAAAGCAUGUGAUUUGGCGGUACUAGAUUCCCCCAACACUUGUCUGACAGAUCACCAC
rnacentral:lncRNA from 1 species